rnacentral:lncRNA from 1 species
AAGAAUAUACGACAUUGUUUGAAGCAUGCAUUAGGAUAUGGAUGAUGAAUAUAUGAUAAAAUAUAUGAUUCAGGAUGUCUACAUAUAUGAAGAGGCAGUAAGAGCUGUAAAGUGAUCGAACCGUGGUAUGAGAACAUUUUGAACUAUGAAACAAUUUAAAAUUUAAACAAUCAGUUUGACAGCAGUGCGAUACGUGUAGGAUUUUUUUUUAAGCCACCCGGAUAUCAUAAAGUUUUUUUU